GGGAAUCUUGCACAAUGGGGGCAACCCUGAUGCAGCGACGCCGCGUGAGCGAUGAAGCCCUUCGGGGCGUAAAGCUCUUUCGACCGGAAAGAUAAUGACGGUACCGGGAGAAGAAGCUGCGGCUAACUACGUGCCAGCAGCCGCGGUAAUACGUAGGCAGCAAGCGGUGUUCGGGGGUACUGGGCGUAAAGAGUGCGUAGGCGGUUUUCUAAGUUCGGUGUGAAAUCUCCCGGCUUAACUGGGAGGGUGCGCCGAAGACUGGGAAGCUGGAGUGUGGGAAAGGCAGGCGGAAUUCCUGGUGUAGCGGUGAAAUGCGUAGAUAUCAGGAGGAACACCGGCGGUGUAGACGGCUUGCUAGACCAUAACUGACGCUGAGGCACGAAAGCGUGGGUAGCAAACA
rnacentral:rRNA from 1 species